rnacentral:rRNA from 1 species
AUUGAACGCUGGCGGCAUGCUUUACACAUGCAAGUCGAACGGUAACAGGGUGCUUGCACCGCUGACGAGUGGCGAACGGGUGAGUAAUGCGUCGGAACGUGCCGAGUAGUGGGGGAUAACGCAGCGAAAGUUGUGCUAAUACCGCAUACGUACUGAGGUAGAAAGUGGGGGACCUUCGGGCCUCACGCUAUUCGAGCGGCCGACGUCUGAUUAGCUAGUAGGUGAGGUAAAGGUCCACCUAGGCGAGGAUCAGUAGUGGGUCUGAGAGGAUGAUGCGCAACACUGGGACUGAGACACGGCCCAGACUCCUACGGGAGGCAGCAGUGGGGAAUUUUGGACAAUGGGCGAAAGCCUGAUCCAGCCAUGCGGCGUGUCUGAAGAAGGCCUUCGGGUUGUAAAGGACUUUUGUCAGGGAGGAAAUCCCUAGUGCUAAUAACACUGGGGGAUGACAGUACCUGAAGAAUAAGCACCGGCUAACUACGUGCCAGCCGCCGCCGUAA